GAUGAACGCUGGCGGCGUGCCUAAUACAUGCAAGUCGAGCGAACGGACGAGAAGCUUGCUUCUCUGAUGUUAGCGGCGGACGGGUGAGUAACACGUGGAUAACCUACCUAUAAGACUGGGAUAACUUCGGGAAACCGGAGCUAAUACCGGAUAAUAUUUUGAACCGCAUGGGUCAAAAGUGAAAGACGGUCUUGCUGUCACGUAUAGAUGGAUCCGCGCUGCAUUAGCUAGUUGGUAAGGUAACGGCUUACCAAGGCAACGAUGCAUAGCCGACCUGAGAGGCUGAUCGGCCACACUGGAACUGAGACACGGUCCAGACUCCUACGGGAGGCAGCAGUAGGGAAUCUUCCGCAAUGGGCGAGAGCCUGACGGAGCAACGCCGCGUGAGUGAUGAAGGUCUUCGGAUCGUAAAACUCUCUUAUUAGGGAAGAACAUAUGUGUAAGUAACUGUGCACAUCUUGACGGUACCUAAUCAGAAAGCCACGGCUAACUACGUG
rnacentral:rRNA from 1 species